GAUGAACGCUGGCGGCGUGCCUCAUCCAUGCAAGUCGAGCGCAGCGGGGACGGGUGAGUAACACGUGGAUAACCUCCUAUACGACUGGGAUAACUUCUGGAAACCGUCGCUAAACCUGAUACUUCUAUAUGGAUCCGCGCUGCAUUAGCUAGUUGGUAAGUUAACGGCUUACCAAGGCAACGAUGAAUAGCCGACCUGGUGGGGUUAUCGGCCACACUGGAACAGAGACACGGUCCAGACUCCUACGUGAGGCAGCAGUAGGGAAUCUUCCGCAAUGGGCGAAAGCCUGACGGAGCAACGCCGCGUGAGUGAUGAAGGUCUUCGGAUCGUAAAACUCUGUUAUUAGGGAAGCGGUACCGAAUCAGAAAGCCACGGCUAACUACGUGCCAGCCGCCGCGGUAAUUC
rnacentral:rRNA from 1 species